rnacentral:rRNA from 1 species
UACGAAGGGGACUAGCGUUGUUCGGAUUUACUGGGCGUAAAGCGCGCGUAGGCGGCCCGAUAAGUCUGCUGUAAAAGUCAACGGCUCAACCGUUGAAAGCCGGUGGAUACUGUCGGGCUAGAGUUCGGAAGAGGCAAGUGGAAUUCCUGGUGUAGCGGUGGAAUGCGCAGAUAUCAGGAGGAACACCUAUAGCGAAGGCAGCUUGCUGGGACGAAACUGACGCUAAGGCGCGAAAGCGUGGGGAGCGAACAGG